AGCUGAUAUUGGAUCGAAGGGGGUAGCAAGGAUUAGUAACAGCGGCAUUGAUGGCAUCGGAAGCUUGUGUAGAACAAUAUCAAGUUCUGAAUUAUCGAAGCAGGGGAAACCAGGUUCAUUGUUUCAUGGCUUUGUUGCCGAUGAGGAACCUCACCAUCAACUUGUCUAGCCCUGAUUUUGAGCCAAUUAGAGAGGUCCUGUCAUCAUAUGAUGUCAAUUCCAAAACUGUAGGAAUUGCUACAGGAAAUGUCAUGAAGAACCAAGAAAAAUGAGCUUUUGUGUUGUAGUGUUGAGCACCACGUAUAAGCUGCCAUGUACAUUAUAGAUGAGAAGUCUGACAGUGCUCUCACGGCAUGCUCCGAAAUUCACUAGUUCAAGGAUAUAGAAAUGUCGCUACAGCUGUAGAAUCGGAGAGUAUUGCCAGAUGAAAGGAUAACAUCCUCUGAUUUUCAUGCCUUUAAUGAUAUAAAUAUCCAAAGGCUGAAUGGCAAUGUUUUGUACCUGUUUUACUGAUCUGGGUCUGUUAGCAGAUUGUAUGUAUGUCUCAUGAUCUGUCGGUGGCAAUUUUAGCUGUCUUGAAAAUAUAAUGUCAGUCUCAGUUUUGUGUAGUACAAUUUGCCAAGGCAAUGUAACUUUAAGAAUCGGGGUUGUAAUAAUGAUGGUUUUGCUUUCUUGAUCUUUAAGCGCAUGGUUUUGUUGUUGUUGUUAUAUGUGAGGGCCACCUUCGACUUC